rnacentral:rRNA from 1 species
CCCUUAGAUGUCCUGGGCCGCACGCGCGUUACACUGAUGCACUCAACGAGUAUAUAACCUUGGCCGAGAGGCCUGGGUAAUCUUGUUAACUUGCAUCGUGAUAGGGAUAGAUUAUUGCAAUUAUUAAUCUUGAACGAGGAAUUCCUAGUAAUCGCAGUUCAUCAAACUGCAGUGAUUACGUCCCUGCCCUUUGUACACACCGCCCGUCGCACCUACCGAUUGAAUGGUCCGGUGAAGCGUUCGGACCGUGGCCUUUGGACGGUUCGCCGUCUGUUGGCUGCGGGAAGUUCGUUAAACCUUAUCAUUUAGAGGAAGGAGAAGUCGUAACA